UUGACACAAUCAAUAUACCUAAACCUUUGUGCUGUAUGGCUGCUUUUUGGCAGCCAUAUUUUUACAAACCUUACGGUAAAACUCAUAACUAAGAUAAAAAUCAAAAACCAAAAAUACUCA
rnacentral:rRNA from 1 species